CAGUAACCUAGGGUGUAGCCAUGUGGAGCGCUUCAGUUAUUAUUGCUAAAGUUUUCAGAUAUUGACUCAUAAAGCUUCGACUGUCACCCCUGCACAAUGGCAGUGGCGUGGGCCUCUGGCAGUCAAACUGAUCCGGUAAUGUACUGCACAAAACCAAAAAUGAAUCCUCUGAUGAAGGGGACCUCACAUUCGUUCUAACCUCAGGCCUCUAUCAUGGAGCACUGGUGCUUCCAAGAAUCCUCCAUCCCGGACAAACAAGACGCCACAAAUCUAUGGAGGACUUCCAUGGGCUCCUGCUUCCUUCCAUUACACUGAAUAAUUUAAACCGUC